CCUAGAUAGGAGGACCUGCGCCACAUGGAGUCAUAGCUUCAGUGAUUUUGGUUUUCACGGGCUAUGGUUUCCACAAUAUUGGCGCAUUGGCAACUUUUGUGGUUUCCCCACGCAGUACAGAGCCGGGGCUCGUUGUGAGAACACGUUGGUUUACGCUCCUGCGCUCUCGUCGUCAUUUAGUUGUUGGAAUGCCUCCAAAACGAGAGAGAUACCUAUCCAAGGAGGAUCUAGAACGUUAUGUGAACUCUGAGGACUUCAAUAAAACAGUUGACAUUACAACAGAGGGCAUAAGUGACGAUGGGAGUGCUGAUGAGAGUGUGUGCUCUCGUCGUCAUUUGUGGCCUGAUUUAUCUACACUCCAGAGUUGAAAGACGGACUGAGUGGUCGUAUAAACCUUUAACUUUAUAGUUUAGUAGGAUUUUUUUGUUCAAUUUAAUAUUUCUAUGCCUCAGGGCCAGAAGGAGUCAGUCUUUAAUUUUUUCUCAAAGUUUUUUUCAAUUAAUUACGAACUGUAUUUAUUUUCAUUUACUCCUAUUCAUUUAUACCCCUAAGGUUUCCAGAUACCUUAUAUUUGUACCUCAACAACGUUUAGUGAGAAUAAAAAAUGUUUGCAUAA